UUUGACAAGAUGAAUAAUAUUUUGGAAAAAUGAGAAGCAAGCUACCUCGAAUUUCUUCAUCUCAACUCCAGCCUCGUUAUGUUCCUAAAAAAAUUCAUCUUCUAAGCAACCUUCCUAAACUGGAUCCGAAUUCUCCUGGUUCUACUCCCAUGUGGCACUCACCUCUUUGUAUUUUCUGCCCUACCACUCUCCCUCCACUGAAUGAUAGGAACUCUUUCCACUACCCCAUCCAUGUUAUUUACCUACCCAGUUCUUAUGUGCCUUCCAGACUACCCUCUUUCCCCUCUGUUCAUAGUGAUUUCCUUUCUUCUUAUUCCUCUAUCUUUGCCUGUUCUCCUCCCAACUAGCCCCUCUUUCUAGUAUGUUGGUCUCUGCUCCUCACCAACACUCCAGCUCGCUCCCCAUCCAGACCUCCUAAUUCAUAAUAUAACCCUAGAGAGAUACUUUCCCUACCAGUGGACAGUUCUGGUGCAGUUCAGAAUUUCUAGGACAGUGAAUUGCAUUAGCCUGACCUGGAAGACAUAAGGCAUUCGAGAUGAUGACCUACCAACAUUCAGCUUAGAGGAGUCUGUUUCUUCCCUCGUUUGCCUGAUCCAUCAGUCAGCCUGCGGAGGCCUCUACCUUUGCCAUUAGCUUCUCCAUGGAACUCAGUCUGUGACCACAGAGAAAACAGCAAGAACAGUGAAGAGUGGAAAACAUCUAAUCUGAUCUCUAGAAGACUCUGAAGGCGGAGCCUCUCAGUCUGCUGCCUGCACUCCAGAUUGCGGCAGAUAGCAGAAUCUACAAGGAAAGGGCAUGUCCAGAUGCUGCCCAGAUGACAGCAUCAGAAGAAUACACGAUAUGUAUUUUUUAAAGUACUCUCCUCAAACU